rnacentral:misc_RNA from 1 species
CGCGUAGUUAUCCCGUGCUCGCCGGCCUUGGUCGGGAAUUAUCCGUCUCGCAGCGACGUCGUCUCGUUUGACUGGUGAGAUCUCUUGUCUCUCUCUGGCUCUCUGUCGCUUCCUUCCAAAUUUUCCCUCUCUACUUUCUCGCUCUAAAAUUCUUAUAAGACCGCCCAUUUUCACUCUCACACGGAGAAGAGUACAGAGUUCUGCUUCGCCGAUCACUUGUUUUCUCUCCCUCUUACUCUCUUCUUUGGUACACUUUCCCUCUCUACUUUCUCUUUCUAUAUGUAUUUGUAUGUGUAUCUAUCUCUAUGUACAGAUGUCAAAUGUGUAAUUUUAGCUUUCGGAAAAGUGAUCUGUGAGCAAUCUUAUAGCAAGAUCUUGCUAUUAUCAGCUUUUUCUUUCAACAUUUGUGUUUGUUUGUGUGUUUCUUUUUUCUUUCGUUUUUUUUUUUUGGGUUUUUGAAAUGAAUCGAGGAGAUUUAGAUCCUUGUUUGUUUGUUUUUUCUUUUUCUUUACUUGCUGGAGUGAUUUGCUUAUGUCAAUUGAGCUGAAUUUGUUAGUUUGAUUAGUAAUUCACUUUGGUUGUACAUUUCGUCGUUAUCGUUUGUUUAUAUAUGUAGAGUUUGAGAAAUAUUAUAGUAUGGCUUUUCAAUUUGUAGUUAAUCAUUCUUGGGGUUUGAAAGUGUACUCGCUACCACACCCCCACACCUUAAUUGGGCGUGCAAUUUUUGCACAGUGUUGACCUACACCUAUGGACUUAUUGUUGUGUUUGUGUAGUAUUUAGCAAUUAAUCCUGGUAUGUUUAAAGUGAAGUUAAAGGAAAAUAUAGAUGAUGGUGUUUCAUCAUGAAUGUGUCCUUAGCUGCUCCUAGUUUUUUUUGUUGAGAAGAAUAGAAGAGAGAGGAAUGGUACUUGUGGCUGUGAAAUAUUGUUGUCAUUGUUGUAUCUAAGUGCUAGGCUAAAUAGCUGCUAAAUAAGUUUUUAAACCCCGUAGUGAUUGGCCUAUUCACCUUACAAGGGAAUUGAUGAUUUAAGGGUCAAACGAUUCUUCAACUAUUAUUGCUACAUGCGCAACUUGAAUACCUUUGUUGGUGAUGGUUCAUGGCAUAAUGGUUGAAAAAAAAAAAGAAGGGCUAGAAAACUCUCUUUUUUUUU